UACAGAGGGGGCAAGCGUUGUUCGGAAUUACUGGGCGUAAAGGGCGCGUAGGCGGCCUGUUAAGUCGAACGUGAAAUCCCCGGGCUCAACCCGGGAACUGCGUCCGAUACUGGCAGGCUUGAAUCCGGGAGAGGGAUGCGGAAUUCCAAGUGUAGCGGUGAAAUGCGUAGAUAUCUGGAGGAACACCGGUGGCGAAGGCGGCAUCCUGGACCGGUAUUGACGCUGAGGCGCGAAAGCCAGGGGAGCAAACGGG
rnacentral:rRNA from 1 species